rnacentral:rRNA from 1 species
UGGGCAGGUUGAAGGUUGGGUAACACUAACUGGAGGACCGAACCGACUAAUGUUGAAAAAUUAGCGGAUGACCUGUGGCUGGGGGUGAAAGGCCAAUCAAACCGGGAGAUAGCUGGUUCUCCCCGAAAGCUAUUUAGGUAGCGCCUCGUGAAUUCAUCUCCGGGGGUAGAGCACUGUUUCGGCUAGGGGGCCAUCCCGGCUUACCAACCCGAUGCAAACUGCGAAUACCGGAGAAUGUUAUCACGGGAGACACACGGCGGGUGCUAACGUCCGUCGUGAAGAGGGAAACAACCCAGACCGCCAGCUAAGGUCCCAAAGUCAUGGUUAAGUGGGAAACGAUGUGGGAAGGCCCAGACAGCCAGGAUGUUGGCUUAGAAGCAGCCAUCAUUUAAAGAAAGCGUAAUAGCUCACUGGUCGAGUCGGCCUGCGCGGAAGAUGUAACGGGGCUAAACCAUGCACCGAAGCUGCGGCAGCGAACGUAUCACUUAAAGCGAUUCAGCGGGUUACGAUUGACGGAGCGAAGCGACGUCAAAGCGUAUACAAAGUCGAGUCGGUUUAAGGAUACGUU